AUACGGAGGGAGCUAGCGUUAUUCGGAAUUACUGGGCGUAAAGCGCACGUAGGCGGCUUUGUAAGUAAGAGGUGAAAGCCCAGAGCUCAACUCUGGAAUUGCCUUUUAGACUGCAUCGCUAGAAUCAUGGAGAGGUCAGUGGAAUUCCGAGUGUAGAGGUGAAAUUCGUAGAUAUUCGGAAGAACACCAGUGGCGAAGGCGGCUGACUGGACAUGUAUUGACGCUGAGGUGCGAAAGCGUGGGGAGCAAACAGGAUUAGAAACCCCGGUAGUCC
rnacentral:rRNA from 1 species